UACGAAGGGGGCUAGCGUUGCUCGGAAUGACUGGGCGUAAAGGGCGCGUAGGCGGAUGGCACAGUCAGAUGUGAAAUUCCCGGGCUUAACCUGGGGACUGCAUUUGAUACGUGUUAUCUAGAGUGAGGAAGAGGGUCGUGGAAUUCCCAGUGUAGAGGUGAAAUUCGUAGAUAUUGGGAAGAACACCGGUGGCGAAGGCGGCUCACUGGCUCGUUUCUGACGCUCAGGCGCGACAGCGUGGGGAUCAAACAGG
rnacentral:rRNA from 1 species